rnacentral:piRNA from 1 species
UAGAAGUACCUGGUGCAAAAGGCCUGUGCAA